rnacentral:pre_miRNA from 1 species
ACCUGUGGGCCAGCUGGUGCUUGGGAGUGAAUGAGGGGUGCUGAGCCCCAUGUACCCCUGCCAGCCCCUGGCAUCGCUGGCCCCAUCCUUCACCCCUGCCAUCCACACUUGCCCUGUGUCU